UGACUGAGUGGCGGACGGGUGAGUAACGCGUGGGUAACCUGCCCUGUACAGGGGGACAACAGUUAGAAAUGACUGCUAAUACCGCAUAAGCGCACAGGACCGCAUGGUCCGGUGUGAAAAACUCCGGUGGUACAGGAUGGACCCGCGUCUGAUUAGGUAGUUGGCGGGGUAACGGCCCACCAAGCCGACGAUCAGUAGCCGACCUGAGAGGGUGGACCGGCCACAUUGGGACUGAGACACGGCCCAAACUCCUACGGGAGGCAGCAG
rnacentral:rRNA from 1 species